GGGAGUAGCUCAGUUGGUUAGAGCCCCAGAUUGUGGAUCUGGUUGUCGCGGGUUCGAGUCCCGUCUCC
rnacentral:tRNA from 1 species